rnacentral:lncRNA from 1 species
UGAUGCUGAUCUGGAGCUAACUAGCUACAGCAGACUCUGCCAGCUGGUGACUUGGACAAGCAUAUCUACCCAGCUACCUCUUUGCUGUCAGUUGAGGAUAAAACCAGCACCUGCUCCCUGGACACUGAGGAGAGACCUUCAGGGGCACAUGAACCCUAGGAUACGGAUAAGAAACCAACAAGGUUUGCUGCCUACUGUGGCUGCUGCCAGAGGGUGUAGCACAGAUGACGGUGCCCAUGUGACUCAGCCACCCUCACAAAGACAGCUGUGUGCCAGUGCCCAGGACAGCCCUUUCCACUCGGGGACAU